UUAGUCAUAACCCGUUAGAGAGAGAAAUCAUCAUCAUCAGCAGCAGCAAAAUCAUCAGUUGCGCCUGACAGGUAGCUAGUUGUACAUGCCCACUCCUCAUGGUAGAUUGCUGUCCUCCGCCUCACUUGUGCCUUCCUUUCCUGAGGAAGACCGACCAGCUGCCCCGCCUGUGAUACCUCCACAGGAGUACCCCAGAGCUCAUAAGGAUUAAUAGAUCUUCGCAGCCCCAACAACAACAAGAACAUUUGUACCUGUCUGGCGAGUGUCAGGCAACCGGCCUCACUUUCCUGCCUUGUGUUCUACUGUCAAAGGGAUGUAGUAUUUGGUACCAGUCAUAUGACAAGAAGAGGCUUGCUCAAGUGUUCAGUAUCUUUGCUAUACAUUAGCAGUUUUGGCAAGACUGGACCUCCAAUCACCCACUUCAGGAAACCAUGACAGCUAAGCACCUUUUGACUAGCUAAGCACUUUUUAUUUCUUUUCUUAGUGAUGUAGAAUGAUGUAUAAAGAGCAUAAAACCCAUAUUUGUAAAAUAAAACAUUAAGGGUAAGAAGCAAAGGUAAAUAAAGAAUGUUCUCUUGAGAAUCAGGCCUCAUUAAUGGUGAAUUUUUCCAUGCACUCCUCGUCAUUGUCCUUUAGCAGCUAAAGACAUCCAAAGCCUGACUUUUCUAAGAGGUAGUGGUUGUGGUGAAUCAGAGAGAGGGGAUAAUAGUGGCUAUAGUGAGAUGUUGGAGCUCUGGAAGAAGAGAUGGACAUGUAGGAAAAGUUCAUACUUUUUGGUUUAGUAAGAGAGGUGAUUAAAAUAACCUUUUAGUUUUUUAUUUAGAUUUUGUUUAAUGUCACUUUUCAACAGUUUGCAGGAGGCAAUAAAUAGCUAAGUAUUCCUGAUCAGCAAUACAGGUUGUAAUACAGAACAGUCACUAGCACUAAUUUAAGUUUUUGGUAGUUUUGAAAUAUAUUUACACAAUCAGUAGAGAGAGUUAAAGCAGUCUACUUGCUUAACUACAUUUUGAAAUCCUAUAGCCAUUAGCAAAUUAAAAUCCUCUUAUGUUACUUCCACUCAUGUAUUGCAAAUGUUGAUGGACUGUGAGCAUUGCUGUGUGGGGAGAUGGAGAGAGCAGGAGAGGAUCAUCUCUCAGCACACCCACUUUCUUGUUCUCCACCACCCUGCAUCAGCUGCACACAGACUGGGAGCAUUGCUGUGUGGGAAGAUGGAGAGAGCAAGAGGGUCACCUUUCAGCACACCCACUUUCCUGUUCUCCACCACUCUGCAUCAGCUGCAUAUUAUGUUGAGGUGCCUGUCUUCCUUCGUAGCAGAACUGUGGCAUUGUAUCCAUUUACUUUCUCACAUGAGGUAAGACAACCUGAUUUUGUGUCCAGCGAAUGCAGGACAGUUGUACAAAGCAAGGCAGGUGUGCUGAACUACCACCAACUUGUGCCUUUGGAGAAAAGGCACGAGUAGGAAAGAACAAAAUUAAGUUUAAAUUGAGAAAAUGACUAUCAAACAUUAUGAAAAAUACUCAGUUAUUAGUCUUCUUAAAAUUAACUUGCACUCCUUCAUUGAAACAAAUUCCUACUAUUGUAGAUAGUAGAAGUUCAUAGUUAAGUAUACAUUGUUUUCAAAAGCUUGGGAUUGGAAUUUAAAACUUAACUCACACAUAUAAUGUCCCUUGGCUCUUAUACAUAGGCUUACUAAUUAUAAAACAGGGAUGUAGUAUUUGCUGUCCACCACCUCACCAAGAGAGCCAUUCCAAAGUCCUCAUCUUCUUGGCCAUGCAAUUGGAAGCCUGAGUCUGGUCUUACAGAAACCACCAAGUGUGCAGCCAUGGUGGUGAAGACUGCAAAACAGCCCUCCUAAUGAGAAAACACAAAUACUGCAUCUCUGGACUUUGUUUUGAUUUGUAAGCCUAGGAAUUUUAUGUUCAUUCAGUUCCACUUCACUUCCAUCACUUAGCAUUGCCAGCACAAGACCAAAACAAAUCCCAUCAAUUGCUCUGUCACCCUCCCACUCAAACCCCAUCAAUUGCUCUGUCACCCUCCCACUCACUCAUACUGGCUGGGAUGAGUGUCUGAUAUGAGUUGAAUCAGGCAAGGCAGUUCACAGCAGGCAAUUCACACACUGGCAAUGGUACUUGAUGAAGGUGAAAGUGGAGAGGACUGUAUUUUGUAAGCUUUCAUAUAAGAGCCAGGGAAAUUGUAAGAGUAUCAAAUUUUAGAUUCUAAUCCCAAGCCCUUGACAACACUGUACAUUCCAAGUUAGUGGUAGUUCCCAUUCAUCACAGACACCUUGUUUUGUACUGCUGCCCACCACAGGCUGGACAUGAAAUCCAGGGCAGCUUGAUUAGCAUCCACACUUCCUCUGUUUUAUGAGGGGAGAGAGACAGACAGCUGCUGCAGGAUGGCCAGAGGAGAGAGUGCACCAAAAGAAGAUCCAGGACAUAGCUGUCUUCACACCUACACACUUCCCUCCCCAUACCACAGCAACCACUAUCAAGAUGACCUGUUUCUCUCUUCUCGUCCAUGCUUCUUUUCAGCUUUACUCUGUCUUCUGCAAUUCCUCUUCUGUUGUGUUCACUUUUCCUCUUGUGGUCUCUCCUCUUGCAAUUCUCUCCUUUUCCCUAUCUGCCAUCAACCUCCACCACAUAUGUUCUCUUCCACCAAUUCUAAAAGUGGUGAAGUAAUUAAUAGAUACCAAGUUGCACAAGGCAAAAUUAUCAACCAAUUUUCUUCAUUCAGGAAACCUGGACAGUGAAGAAUUAAUUAUUGUGUUUCAUAAAAAUUCAUUUUAUCUAUUAAUUACUUAACAUGUUUCUGUAAGUGAUGUAACAUUCUGACAGAAGAAAAAGAUGUUGAGCUGGUGAGAAUGAGCAUACAUGCAUUGCAGGCUGUGCCAUUGCUGAUAGAGUACAUAUCAUCAAUAAGGAGGACAUAAUGUCAAUAAGUGGGAGGGAAAGCUGCUUAUUUUCUGACAGGAUACACUUGUUUUACUUUAUAUCAUGAAAAAAGUUGUAAAUGAUAUGAUAUAUAAUAUUCUUCCUAAUGAUGAACACAAGUUAUAACUGAAUACUGGAAUACCUGCCACUGAAGAGUUUCUACUUGAGUUUCAGAGAGGAGUGUUGACUCAGUCUGGAGAUGAUGCACAGUUCACAUAUUCUUGAGGCAUAACUUUUUCCCUGUGCUACACUCACAAUUGGUGCUAUGUGGCCUCUCAUCACAUCCUGAAAUAUGGGAUUGAAAUUAAGAUUCUUCCUAGACAUCUCAAUACACUGUCUACCAAAAAAAGUUAAUGAAAUAUCUAAAAUUGUGUUAAUCACAUUACUAACUAGCUUUCUCUUUCAAAGUAUUGGACAUGCACACACACACACACACACACACACACACACACACACACACACACACACACACACACACACACACACACAGCAGAAAUGUCACCUAUAAAUAUCUUAAUGAUACUUUAUACAUAAUGUGAUUAAUUAGAAGGGGGAAGAGGUUGGGGCAGAUGAAUGUUUGGGAGUAAGCACAGGCUACAUAUGCCGUCAGGGAAUAAACACCAUGUCUACAAAUAAUCCUCUUUUCAUAAAGUUCUAUGUACAGGUGAGUGUGAUAUUCAGUGUGAUGUUCAACUCCUGGAUAAUAAAUACCAUUAAUGAAA